GUGUAAGGAGCUUGGAGUGAGAGGAUAUGCUGCUGGAGGACUGAGGAGUACAAGUGUUAUCAGACACUAGGAGGAAGGUCCUGUGUACAAAUGAGGGCGGUUGAGUGCUCUCCACCGAUGUGCACCACUGCAUGCCAGUAUAAGAGGGAAGUGUCUCCCCUGAUCCUCCUCAGUUCCUUCUUACCAGAUAGAAUCCAACAGAGUGAGGAAGGACAGCGGGUUUGUGGAACGGACAUGCGCGUCAUCUCGAAGUCCAACAGUACAGAAAGGCAGCAGGUCUUGGGGCCAAGGUAUAAAGCUCUUAUAUUUAUGAGCCUACUAAGAGUGGAAUCCUUUCCUCUUCGUUGCUGAUGUGUAAAUUCCACAGGAUUUCAGUGCUACCCUUGAAUCUUUUAGGCUACGCAGCUUAUCGUCCGUCUUUUCCAAAAAGUGGGAUGGACCCUCAAAUGGCAAAUCCUGGAUGGUCUACUGUACUACAGGAGGGAGACCAGAGAAUUACAGCCAUGAACACCACCUCAUAUAAAUAAGAUGCCAUGGAACAAGCUGCUGAGUCUGCUGCACCCAAACUGUUUUGAUGAGCUGUCCUUUACACCAACUUACUCUUCUCUACCAUAAGAGUGAACUCUUGCCCGGAGUUCUCUUGUAGCCUCUCUUUAAACUUCAUUAUGUGUUCCCAUAGGGUGAAGUUGUUACAGCUUAGGAGAGCUUGCUGAUUAGCAAUUCUUUGCUGCUGCCCUUCUGUCAAAGUUUAUGACCAAACAGGUCCAGCCUCUGAUUCUUUACUCUUUGGAGUCAAUGCAGGGAGGCCCUGCCUCUCUAGCUACUCAGCUGCUGCCAUCACCCAAGAGACAAGGGGCAGGUGAGAAAAGAGGUCUUUGAAGCCCUUAGAAGGACAUAGUAGCUCCUCUCUAUUUCAACGAAGGCAAUAGAAGGGGUCUACCAAAGCAUUUUAACUGGUUCCAGAAUUACUUAAUCAGAAACACCACUUGGAAGGGUCCCGCAGAAGCUAAAAUGUCUACUGGCUUGGGGGAUUUCUGGUGAACCUCUUCUGCUUGAAUACCCGAGUCCUUUUUAAGCAGUUCUUUGGGAGUCCUGUAAUCCUCUGGUGGGGGGGGGGGGGAAAUUGCUCACCGUUUCUACAAACUCAUCUGGCGAUGAGGAAGGACACACACCAGGACACUGAGGCAACGGUUGAUCUGCCUCUUUCAGUGGAGAAGCUGUCUAAGCAACUGCCAGUUGCAUGGUACCAGUUAUCUAAGAACCUGGUCUGUGGUACUGAUGAACCUGGUGCACCCUCAAGGAAGUCAAGUCAGACAGGUGAGGAGAGGUUCUAGCAAGGGGAGGGACACCCCAUAGUGUCCAGAACGGCCACAGACAUGGUGGUGAGCACCAUUUCUGAAUCUGACAAAGAUGACUGAAUCCUGCAAUCACGGUGGAGCAGAACCAGUGUGGACAGGGGACAGGUAAGCCAAACCCAGAGGUGGCAUUACUGGGUAUAUUAACUGCGGCUUGCCCUUCGAAUAUACUGGCCUCCUAGGUACCAGAAGUAGCAUUGAUAUUGAAUGCUUUUGUGGGGCUAGAGUACGGAUUAUAGUCACUGAUAUCAUCUAAAACCCCUCCUGCAUAGAUGGGAACACUGGUACCGAAAGGUUCAGUAAUUCUUUUGUAGAAGCAUAUGCUUGUGCUGGCAUCAAUACCAGGACUUGGUCUUGGGUCUAACAAAUAGAAACUUCAGGGGUUGGCCUCAAUGGACCUGGCACAGGUUCUGGAGUUGACUAACCCGUCUUUGUAGCAGAGAAACACUCCAGGGAAAGCUUCCCCUCAGAGUCCCUCCCAGAGAUCUUGCUUUUAGCUGGACGAGGUACCGGGUUCUUGUCAGAUCUGAGUCUCUUCUUUGGUACUGGAGAUGUAGAACUUAUUUGUUGCUUAGUGCUGAAGACAUCUCAGGAGGCAACUCUGCUCCAAUAUUGCCAUACUCUGAGUAUGCGCUGAAAAUGACAGUUUCGAUAGAGGGCGAAGUGCCAACUCCAUAAGGAGACACUUAAGUUUUGCUGCUCUGUCUUUGAGUGAGCCUUAAACCCUCUGCAAAGGGGAUACUUGUCCCUGAUGUGGGACACCCCCAGACAGAAAAUUCAGGCAACUGGGGUGCAGGUCACUGACUGGCAUCAGUCUGGCAUAUAACCAGCAGGACUUGGUCCCCAGAGAGUGAGACAUAGCUCUAAUAUCAAAAAUAAAAUUGGGUAAAACCUCCCUCUAACUACUAAGUGAGAAACAUACCACAGACAAAGAGUGAAGGAAAUGAACUUGCACUAGCAAGUCUGGAAGCACUUCAACAACCAUCACUGGCAGUCAGUAGGAACUGAAUGGACUCAGGAGUAGCUCUGCCCUCUUAUACCAGCAGGCAGUGGUGCACAGUGGUGGAGGGCACUGCUGAGGCGAAAAGGUUCUCUGACAAUUGUACCAAAGGCACGCACACACCUACUAUGGCAUAGACAUGUAAAAUUACUCUAAGAAGAAUUAUUGUUCAAAGCCAUACUCUGAUUAGCUAGUGUGGCCUUUCUGGUGAUUUGAGAGUAAUGUACCAACUACUAAUGAAUGCAACACUGGUUGCAUCACUGAUAAAUGAAUUAAAUGCACAUAACUGGAAGUCACUCAAACAUGGUUCAUCUUCCAGUCACUCAUCUCUCGGAGCUUCCUUGUCUAAGACAAUUUUGAUAAAGAAAAAAGUAUACACCUAGGAACAAGUUUAACCUCACAUAUCUGAGUCAUCCCACUGACCUGAAACAGACUAUUCGCAUGAGUGAAGUUCAGCAUGUGUCUCAAUCUUUUCAGGAUUGAAUCUCUCUAUCAAUCUACUUAAGCUUCCUUUAACUUCCACUGCCAUAUUAUCUACUGUAUUGAAAACUGGAGGCCCCCAGCCCUGCUCCCUUUAGAGUUCUAACUUUUUUUCUGAAAUUUUUUUUAAGCAUAGUGAAAUCGUUUUCCUUUCAAUCCCCAAACACACUACCAUUAAAUGAUCGAAACUGUCUGCUAUAUUUUUGAUGUACUUCAGUAGCACUAACAUGUGAAAGAUAUGCAUUUCUUUACUACUGAUGCACUGCUCUGGUGGUUGGCAGCACAAACCAAAGGCAUGAAUCAAUAGCCAAAUAGAGCUAAAUAAAGCAUAACUGCAAUGAAGU